UCUAAUAUGGCAGACAAGUGCAUUGGGUUUAAGCUUCAAAUAUAAGAAGUUUCUUUAUUAGAA
rnacentral:tRNA from 1 species